ACAUGCCUACAACACAACAUCAAUGCAUCAAAUCCCAUUAGAAAUUUUUAGUUAAGCAUGCUCAAGCUAGAGUAGUACUGGUAUGGGUGACCUCUUCAGAAGUCUUAGUGUUUUACAUGCC
rfam:Picea glauca, whole genome shotgun sequence.